rnacentral:rRNA from 1 species
UUGAACGCUGGCGGCAUGCUUUACACAUGCAAGUCGAACGGCAGCGGGGGCUUCGGCCUGCCGGCGAGUGGCGAACGGGUGAGUAAUGCAUCGGAACGUACCCAGUCGUGGGGGAUAACUACGCGAAAGCGUAGCUAAUACCGCAUACGCCCUGAGGGGGAAAGCGGGGGACCUUCGGGCCUCGCGCGAUUGGAGCGGCUGAUGUCGGGUUAGCUAGUUGGUGGGGUAAAGGCCCACCAAGGCGACGAUCUGUAGCGGGUCUGAGAGGAUGAUCCGCCACACUGGGACUGAGACACGGCCCAGACUCCUACGGGAGGCAGCAGUGGGGAAUUUUGGACAAUGGGCGAAAGCCUGAUCCAGCCAUUCCGCGUGAGUGAAGAAGGCCUUCGGGUUGUAAAGCUCUUUCGGCAGGAACGAAACGGUGCGGGCCAAUACCCCGCAUCAAUGACGGUACCUGAAGAAGAAGCACCGGCUAACUACGU